AGUGAACGCUGGCGGUAGGCCUAACACAUCCAAGUCGAACGGCAGCACAGUAAGAGCUUGCUCUUACGGGUGGCGAGUGGCGGACGGGUGAGGAAUACAUCGGAAUCUACUUUUUCGUGGGGGAUAACGUAGGGAAACUUACGCUAAUACCGCAUACGACCUACGGGUGAAAGCAGGGGAUCUUCGGACCUUGCGCGAUUGAAUGAGCCGAUGUCGGAUUAGCUAGUUGGCGGGGUAAAGGCCCACCAAGGCGACGAUCCGUAGCUGGUCUGAGAGGAUGAUCAGCCACACUGGAACUGAGACACGGUCCAGACUCCUACGGGAGGCAGCAGUGGGGAAUAUUGGACAAAGGGCGCAAGCCUGAUCCAGCCAUACCGCGUGGGUGAAGAAGGCCUUCGGGUUGUAAAGCCCUUUUGUUGGGAAAGAAAAGCAGCAGGUUAAUACCCCGCUGUUCUGACGGUACCCAAAGAAUAAGCACCGGCUAACUUCGUG
rnacentral:rRNA from 1 species